rnacentral:rRNA from 1 species
AGUCGAGCGCACUCUUCGGAGUGAGCGGCGGACGGGUUAGUAACGCGUGGGAACGUGCCCUUCUCUAAGGAAUAGCCACUGGAAACGGUGAGUAAUACCUUAUACGCCCUUCGGGGGAAAGAUUUAUCGGAGAAGGAUCGGCCCGCGUUAGAUUAGAUAGUUGGUGGGGUAAUGGCCUACCAAGUCUACGAUCUAUAGCUGGUUUUAGAGGAUGAUCAGCAACACUGGGACUGAGACACGGCCCAGACUCCUACGGGAGGCAGCAGUGGGGAAUCUUGGACAAUGGGCGCAAGCCUGAUCCAGCCAUGCCGCGUGAGUGAUGAAGGCCUUAGGGUCGUAAAGCUCUUUCGCCAGAGAUGAUAAUGACAGUAUCUGGUAAAGAAACCCCGGCUAACUCCGUGCCAGCAGCCGCGGUAAUACGGAGGGGGUUAGCGUUGUUCGGAAUUACUGGGCGUAAAGCGCACGUAGGCGGAUCAGAAAGUAUAGGGUGAAAUCCCAGGGCUCAACCCUGGAACUGCCUUGUAAACUCCUGAUCUUGAGUUCGAGAGAGGUAAGUGGAAUUCCGAGUGUAGAGGUGAAAUUCGUAGAUAUUCGGAGGAACACCAGUGGCGAAGGCGGCUUACUG